UCUUUCUUUUGCUGAAGAUUACAAUAGAAUCGACGCUUGGCCUUCUCAACCUUUUAUUUUCGGAGUUUACUGCAACUGGAAAGGUAUUGGACUGUUAGCUACCGAUUUGCUCCAGACAAAAAUCGUUGGCAAGCUGAAGCUGUAGUUGCAAUUGAAGAGAACAAUAUGUCAGGUGUUCCACCAACGGGUGCUUCUUCUCAAGCUUCUCGAGGAAGCAAAAGAAAAUGGGUUCGA